AAUCCCACAAAACAUGCAUCAUCAAACUCUUGCCACUAUUUACCACCACACCAUUUAAAUUCAAGCCUAUAGUUUAGUAUCAAUCAUCUACCACCAAUGAAGAAUGCAACAUAAUAUAAAUAUACUAAUCCAUCAAAUUGGGAUAUUCUACCCAAAUAUCUCAAAAAUCUACUACAUACCUUCUCACAAGUAGCACUAGUUUACAACUACCAAUGAACAGAGGGUCAAGGGGGUUAAAG
rnacentral:lncRNA from 1 species